rnacentral:rRNA from 1 species
UCACUUAUUUUUUGGGCUUAUGUAUGAUCGUUUAUUUUAAGCUUAAGGUUUAGGAUUAUAGGUUUAUUAUUGACUGUAAAAAUAGAUAUAUAUUUGGUUGAUAAUUAAGUUAAUUUGACCUACAAUAUUUUGAAUUAUGGAUUAUUAGUUAGUAAUAAUAUGAAAUUGUAAAAGACAGUAAGAAAGUUUUUAUGUCUUUCUGAAGAGUAUUUAGAGAUGGUACAAAUCAUCCAUCAAUUGUCCACAGGGAAC